UACGUAGGGUGCAAGCGUUGUCCGGAAUUAUUGGGCGUAAAGAGCUCGUAGGCGGUCCUAUAAGUAUGGUGUGAAAUCUCCCGGCUUAACUGGGAGGGUGCGCUAUAGACUGUGGGACUAGAGUGUGGGAGAGGAAAGUGGAAUUCCCAGUGUAGAGGUGAAAUUCGUAGAUAUUGGGAAGAACACCGGUGGCGAAGGCGGCUCUCUGGACCGUAACUGACGCUGAGGCGCGAAAGCGUGGGGAG
rnacentral:rRNA from 1 species